CCCAGAGGCAUUGACAACAGAGUGUGGAGAAAGUUCAAAUGCCAGAUCUUGAUUCCCAACAUUGAUUAUGGGAACAAGAAGAAGACAAAGCACAUGCUGCUCGGUGGCUUCUGGGUUUCUGGUCUACAGUGUCAAGGAGCUGUAAGUGCUGCUGCAGUGCAAUAAAUCUUACUGUGUUGGGAUCGCUCACAAUGUCUAAGAACUGAAAAGUCAUAGAGGAAAGAGAAGCCCGGCUGGCCAUGAGUCACCAAUCCCAAGGCCAAGUUGCACAGCAAAGAAAAU
rnacentral:lncRNA from 1 species